rnacentral:misc_RNA from 1 species
GGUCAGAUGUGUAUAAGAGACAGGUGAAUCAUCGAAUCUUUGAACGCACAUUGCGCCCUCUGGCAUUCCGGGGGGCAUGCCCGUUCGAGCGUCAUUAAAACCCAUCAAGCCUGGCUUGGUAUUGGGCGACGGGACCUCCCCGCGCCCCGAUUUCGCCGGCUGGACGAACCCCGAUCUCAAGCGCUGUAAUGAGCAUUCGCUGGAGGGACGGGCGGCCACGCCGUUAACCUUAAUCAAUUCAAGUUGACCUCGGAUCGGGUAGGAAUACCCGCUGAACUUAAGCAUAUCAAUAAGCGGAGG